rnacentral:rRNA from 1 species
UACGUAGGGGGGCAAGCGUUGUCCGGAAUCAUUGGGCGUAAAGCGCGUGUAGGCGGCUUGGUAAGUCUGCUCUGAAAGCCCGGGGCUCAACCCCGGGAGGCGGGUGGAUACUGCUGAGCUCGAGUCCGGAAGAGGCGAGUGGAAUUCCUGGUGUAGCGGUGAAAUGCGCAGAUAUCAGGAGGAACACCAAUGGCGAAGGCAGCUCGCUGGGACGGUACUGGACGCUGAGA